GCAAGACUGACAGGCUGUUUGACGUACUGGCCCUCACAGCCUGGUUGGAAAGGACAGACAGGCAGCAACCAAUUACCUAGGAGAUACGUAAAAGCAAUUUUGUGUUGAGUGUGGAGAAAGACGGCAUUUCCUGUUAGACUUGGUGACUUAGGCAGUGAUGUUGAAGCUGAGAGCAGAUGCCUAAAAGAAAAGGAGGACCUGUGCGGGAGAGUGUUGGGACAGGGCAAGGGAGGAGUAGGGCCUGUCAGAGGAGCUGAAAGCAUGCCCUGGAGACUGGGGCCGCCGCGUAGGGACUGCAGGGUGGGGAAAAGAAAACCUUUCGAUUGAGGCUGGCGCUUUCUCUAGGUUUUUGGGGACUAAGCGUGGUGAUUCAGAACAGAAAAGUAGAGAGUCGUGUAAGCAGAGCACGCCUUUCCUUGACUCUCUGUCGAGAGCUUUUGUGAUUCCAGCUGCUCUCUGCCUCAGACACGGUGCCCUCUGCGUGUGCAGUCAUCUAAACAGUUCAGGUCUGGGACCGUGGAGAAUCCAAGGCGGUAUAGUCAUGCUUUGCUUAACAGUGGGGAUGAGUUCUGAGGAGUGUGUCAUGGUCAGGCAAUCUCGAGACUGUGCAAACACCACGGAGUUCCUAAACCUGGAUGGCAGAGCCUCCUACACACCUAGGCCAUAUGGGACUAAUCUGAUGAGACCCCCGUUGUUGACUGAAACGUCCCGAUGUAGGGCAUGACUGUACUUCCCAACUCCAAGGGCACGGAAGUGUAGCCUGUGGGGCUUUGGAAAAGAACAGAGACGCUCAAGGCCUACUCUGGACCCACUGACUCAGAAUCUACUGGGAUAGGUCCCGGCUUUAAAGACCAGACGUAGUCCUCCUCUGCAGACAUCUCAUCAACGGUUUUUCACGCUGGGUUUUCCCUCAUCUGAGAAAACAGGCCAAGAGAUUUCAGACGUGGUACUUGAAAAUAGGCUGCUAAGACUGAUGUCAAAGAGCACACUGCCUAUGUUUGCUUGUAGACGUUGCAUGGUUUCGGGUAUGUGCCCCACACUUGAAAGCAUGGAAGAGAAAGCGUGAGGCUGGAGGGUGCUCCGUUCGUUCCCUCCUUGCACAGAAAGUCUGGAGAGUUGACUUUGGGACAAGUCCUUCCUUUCCUCUGGUCGGUGCGUGUUCAGUGGUCUGGACACUUGGUGAGCAAGACUGACAGGCUGUUUGACGUACUGGCCCUCACAGCCUGGUUGGAAAGGACAGACAGGCAGCAACCAAUUACCUAGGAGAUACGUAAAAGCAAUUUUGUGUUGAGUGUUGAGAAAGACGGCAUUUCCUGUUAGACUUGGUGACUUAGGCAGUGAUGUUGAAGCUGAGAGCAGAUGCCUAAAAGAAAAGGAGGACCUGGGCGGGAGAGUGUUGGGACAGGGCAAGGGAGAGGAGUAGGGCCUGUCAGAGGAGCUGAAAGCAUGCCCUGGAGACUGGGGCCGCCGCGUAGGGACUGUAGGGUGGGGAAAAGAAAACCUUUCGAUUGAGGCUGGCGCUUUCUCUAGGUUUUUGGGGACUAAGCGUGGUGAUUCAGAACGUGGCCUCUGGAGCCAGACUCUGUCACAUGGGUCCUGGCUCUGCCACCUACGGGCUGUGUGAACUCGGGCAAGUUACUGUACCAUUCUGUGUGUCAGUUUCCUGAUCUGUAAAACGGGGAUGAUUAUCAUACACACUCCAUAGGUGAGUGUAAAGGUGAGAGGAUAUUUCAUAUCCGUAAAGUACUUAGAGCAGUGUCUGGCCUUUAGCAGGCGUUAGUAGUGGUUGAUUCAAGAAAUGGCUAAAUGCAUACCUAACUAUUCAAGGCUUGGAGGCUGUCCCUGGUGAAACGUGUGAACUUGAAUGGAUUACACCCAACUUUGUUUUGUUUUGUUUCCUUUCCGGCUUGCAGUUGCUACUGACCGCAUCUGCAGCACUGUGGAAUUAGAAAUAAUCUGCCUCGACUUGGCUGCUCUUGGUAAAACAAUCUAAUGCUGUCCAAAUUAUCCCAGGGAAAUAAAAGCCUUUUCAGUAGCAUAGGAGGGUUAGGCUUAUUUAAUAUGUAUUGUUUAUAUUGGUUUGUUUAGUGUUUGUUGGUAACUUUGUGUUUUUUCUUUUUUUUUUUUUUUUUGGCAAAGCUGCUCGGUUAAGAAAAGCAGAUUAGCUAGGAAAUGGUUCAGACCCAGAGAAAAGUAGAGAGUCGUGUAAGCAGAGCACGCCUUUCCUUGACUCUCUGUCGAGAGCUUUUGUGAUUCCAGCUGCUCUCUGCCUCAGACACGGUGCCCUCUGCGUGUGCAGUCAUCUAAACAGUUCAGGUCUGGGACCGUGGAGAAUCCAAGGCGGUAUAGUCAUGCUUUGCUUAACAGUGGGGAUGAGUUCUGAUGGAGUGUGUCAUGGUCAG
rnacentral:lncRNA from 1 species